GACGAACCGUGCGAACGUUGUUCGGAAUCACUGGGCUUAAAGGGCGCGUAGGCGGGCUAUCAAGUCUGGGGUGAAAUCCCGCGGCUCAACCGUGGAACUGCCUUAGAUACUGACGGCCUUGAGGAAGGUAGGGGCAUGCGGAACUGUAGGUGGAGCGGUGAAAUGCGUUGAUAUCUACAGGAACUCCGGUGGCGAAAGCGGCGUGCUGGACAUUUUCUGACGCUGAGGCGCGAAAGCUAGGGGAGCAAACGGG
rnacentral:rRNA from 1 species